rnacentral:rRNA from 1 species
GACGAACCGAGCGAACGUUGUUCGGAAUCACUGGGCUUAAAGGGCGCGUAGGCGGGUGCUCAAGUCCGGGGUGAAAUCCUCCAGCUCAACUGGAGAACUGCCUCGGAUACUGGGUGCCUCGAGGGUGGUAGGGGUAUGCGGAACUAUCGGUGGAGCGGUGAAAUGUGUUGAUAUCAUCAGGAACUCCGGUGGCGAAGGCGGCAUGCUGGACCUUCACUGACGCUGAGGCGCGAAAGCUAGGGGAGCGAACGGG